CAACCAAAGACUGGCGACCGGCGCACGGGUGAGUAACACGUAUCCAACCUGCCUCAUACUCGGGGAUAGCCUUUCGAAAGAAAGAUUAAUAUCCGAUAGCAUAUAUUUCCCGCAUGGGUUUUAUAUUAAAGAAAUUCGGUAUGAGAUGGGGAUGCGUUCCAUUAGUUUGUUGGGGGGGUAACGGCCCACCAAGACUACGAUGGAUAGGGGUUCUGAGAGGAAGGUCCCCCACAUUGGAACUGAGACACGGUCCAA
rnacentral:rRNA from 1 species